CGCUGCACAACCGGCACGCACCGUUUGUUGAUGGUGGACAUAUAGAUGGAGAGAUGUCGACAAGAGACUUGUCAUAAUCUGCUCUUUCGGUUGCUCUAUUGACCACUUUCGUCCCUCGAAACGUACAUAACUUUCAACCUGCUUUUCUAUAUGUACAGACUGUGUAUUGAUGUGGUGCCUCAUUCAAUCCCAGGGGACCUGGGCACCUACUUGAAUGGAUAGAAAGGCCGAAUAUUUACGACAAUAGUGAAGAUAAUAGGAAAUCGAUGAACGGCAACGAAGACACCAUUUCAGCGUAUGCUGUUAAAAUGCUGCAGUUGUCCAUUUUUUUAUCUAUAAUACUCUGCAGAUUAUUUUUCACGUAGUAGUUUUCAAGUUAUUCAAGAAGUGCCGUACACCAACAUCUCGAUACAAAUACAGAUUGCACAAACGUCUCAAUUCUCGACUGUUUCACGCUUUUGCUUAUGCACCGACCUCCUCGAGCGCUUUUUACAGGACGCUUUUUUCAAUCUCAUUUAUAUACUUGCAGCGAACAAAAGUCUUUUACUUCACAGGGACUCCACUUCCUCGCCUUUUUUCC
rnacentral:sRNA from 1 species